rnacentral:rRNA from 1 species
GACAGAGGGUGCAAACGUUGUUCGGAAUUACUGGGCGUAAAGCGAGUGUAGGCGGUUUGGAAAGUCGGAUGUGAAAGCCCCGGGCUCAACCCGGGAAGUGCACUCGAUACUCCCAAGCUAGAGUAUCGGAGAGGUUGGCGGAAUUCUCGGUGUAGAGGUGAAAUUCGUAGAUAUCGGGAGGAACACCGGCGGCGAAGGCGGCCAACUGGACGAAUACUGACGCUGAGACUCGAAAGCGUGGGGAGCAAACAGG